rnacentral:lncRNA from 1 species
CAGGUAGGAUAUAAGGCAGCCAAAGGAGGUUGAUAGGCCACUCGGUCACUCGACAUCAUCACAGACAGCUUCUAUCAACUCUAAAACAGAAGAGGAUGAAGACCCUCAGUGUGAUAGUGAUGUUCACCCUCCUGGGUGUCCUGUUGGCAAACCCACUCAACGAGGUCAAUUCUCAGGAAGGUAGGACCUUUCUGUAGGUGUAAAUGUGCUUUGUGUAAGUGAGUGUGUUUGUGUGUGCAAAAGCAUGUAUGUGUAAGCAUCUUUGUGUGUGGUUGUGCGUAUGUAAUAUUUAUUGGGUUGUGCAGAAGAGGCCAUCUUUCAGUUCAGUUGACUGUUCUUCCUCUGUGACAGAUUUGGAUGACAGUGGGCUCAAUGAACUGGAAUCUCCAAAGUUGGCUCCAAUGCAGAGUAAGAGUGUGCUUGUGUUUUCAGUUUCCAUUCAUUUACCCAUCAAUUAUCCCAAAAAUUAUAAUUAAUAUACAUAUAUUCCACUAAAAAUAAUGCCAUGUUACCGAUAAUAAAAUUGUUUACCUAUUCUUUGAUCUGCCUUGAAAAAAGACCCUCCGUCUCAAGAAGACCAGGAGAUUCAAAAUGAUGUGGAAGAUGCAAUUGCUGCAAUGGAAGAUUAUCAGAAGGAUCCCAAAGCUGAGAAGUUGCAGUCUCUAUUCUUUAGGUUUAAGUGGCUGUUACGCAGACUCUUCAGGACUUUCUUCGGUUGGCGUCGCCACCAUCACCACCAUCAUAGAUGGUAUUGAGGAUCCUCUCCAGUCUCCAUAUGAAAUGUAUCACGAUACAACUCACAAGUCUCCUGACAUCACCUCUCACCAACCUGAUGUAUCAACAACCUCUUAGACCCACAUCAUCACUAUAUCUACUGAUUAAUGCUGUGUUCCAAAUGACACCCUAUUCCCUUUAGAGCACUGCUGUUAAGAUGUUCUAAAGUAAAGUUAAAGACAGGGAAUAUGGUGACAUUUCAGACACACUUUGUCACCAUUUCUCUGUCUGUUUUGAUACUUUAGGAAUGAUUAGAGAUGAUUAACAUUGACUAUAUGAAGACAUGGUGGUAAUGUUGUAUGGCUGAUCUGUCAAACUGCAAUCAUUCAAUAAAUAUUUAUCAAGCAUCACACAUUAUCAGCUGUGCACGA